AUUGAACGCUGGCGGCAUGCCUAACACAUGCAAGUCGAACGGUAACAGGCCUUCGGGCGCUGACGAGUGGCGGACGGGUGAGUAAUGCAUAGGAAUUUGCCUUGAAGUGGGGGAUAGCCCGGAGAAAUCCGGAUUAAUACCGCAUAUGCUCUACGGAGCAAAGUGGGCCUCUGAUUUAAGCUCAUGCUUUGAGAUAAGCCUAUGUCGGAUUAGCUAGUUGGUAGGGUAAAGGCCUACCAAGGCGACGAUCCGUAGCUGGUUUGAGAGGAUGAUCAGCCACACUGGGACUGAGACACGGCCCAGACUCCUACGGGAGGCAGCAGUGGGGAAUAUUGGACAAUGGGCGCAAGCCUGAUCCAGCAAUGCCGCGUGUGUGAAGAAGGCCUGCGGGUUGUAAAGCACUUUUAUCGGGAAAGAAAUCCUUGGAG
rnacentral:rRNA from 1 species